GACGAACGCUGGCGGCGUGCUUAACACAUGCAAGUCGAACGGAAAGGCCCUGCUUUUGUGGGGUGCUCGAGUGGCGAACGGGUGAGUAACACGUGAGUAACCUGCCCUUGACUUUGGGAUAACUUCAGGAAACUGGGGCUAAUACCGGAUAGGAGCUCCUGCCGCAUGGUGGGGGUUGGAAAGUUUCGGCGGUGGGGGAUGGACUGGCGGCUUAUCAGCUGGUUGGUGGGGUAGUGGCUUACCAAGGCUUUGACGGGUAGCCGGCAUGAGAGGGUGACCAGCCACAUUGGGCCUGAGAUACGGACCAGACUCCUACGGGAGGCAGCAGUGGGGAAUAUUGCCCAAUGGGCGGAAGCCUGAUGCAGCAACGUCGCGUGCGGGAUGACGGCCUUCGGGUUGUAAACCGCUUUCGCCUGUGACGAAGCGUGAGUGACGGUAAUGGGUAAAGAGGCACCGGCUAACUACGUG
rnacentral:rRNA from 1 species